rnacentral:rRNA from 1 species
UGAGGAAUAUUGGUCAAUGGCCGGGAAGGCUGAACCAGCCAAGUCGCGUGAGGGAAGACGGCCCUACGGGUUGUAAACCUCUUUUGUCAGGGAGCAAACCUCUCCACGCGUGGGGAGUCGAGAGUACCUGAAGAAAAAGCAUCGGCUAACUCCGUGCC